rnacentral:lncRNA from 1 species
GGGAUUAGCAUCAAGGAGAAUCGGCCUCACCAAAAGGGUCGUUGCGAAUUUGGAGAAGAGCCAGAAAUUAUAUGGUGCCAGGUCUGGUGGGUGAAGACAAACUGUAAUGUUUUUCAGAACUGCCUUUCCAGUGGGUGGCACACAGCAGCAACAUUCACUGGAUUUGUGAUCCUACCUCCUAAAGACACACAAGAAUACUUCUAAAUCUGCAUCACAAGGGGCAAAACUGACAGGAUCCAUAUGUUUAAAG